UACGGAGGAUCCAAGCGUUAUCCUGAUUUAUUGGGUUUAAAGGGUGCGUAGGCGGGACCUUAAGUCAGCGGUAAAAUUGCGGUGCUCAACGCCGUAGAGCCGUUGAAACUGGGGUUCUUGAGUGAGCGAGAAGUAUGCGGAAUGCGUGGUGUAGCGGUGAAAUGCAUAGAUAUCACGCAGAACCCCGAUUGCGAAGGCAGCAUACCGGUGCACAACUGACGCUCAGGCACGAAAGUGCGGGGAUCGAACAGG
rnacentral:rRNA from 1 species